AUGUUUGAUAUCAACAUUAUUUUACAUGUUGUUUUGCAUAACUGGACUUCCAGGUUAAUCGUCAUGUUCCAGACAGAGAAGACUACACAUUCAGGUAUUUUUUCAGAGUGCGCAUGUAUUUACACUAACAAACACAAACUUGUGUUGAAUCAUGUAAAUGUACCUGGACCUGCAGUUCUUUGUCUCUGUCCAGACUGGCUGCUGGUGUCAGUGGAGGCUGAUGAAGGUGUGGAGCUUCCUGGAACGACGUUUGAACUCUGUGUUGUUGGUGGUGUGGAUGUUGACGGGACUGAUGGUGGACGAGUAGUGAGGGGGCGGGUUGGUUCUGUGAAAUAUGAAAGUCACAAUAAAACAAUCUGAUGUUACUCACUAAUUCUCUGCAAACCAGCUAAAUACUUGAAAUUAAUGCCUGUGUGCUUAAAAUCAUAUCAUAUUCAACUGCGGUGAGACAGUUUGAGUUUAUCAACUAAACACAUCUGAACUUCAGACUUUAGCUUCAGUGUGAAGAAUCAUUCAUUCAGAUUGGACCAGACUGUCUGAUAAUCAGACUGAAUCUUCAGUCACUCAGUCUGACUUUGUGUUCAGGUCAGCUGAUUGGUUUUUAUUAAAUAAUCAGUAUCAGAGACACAGAAGUUGUUACUGAGAGCAGUUCAUGUUUUACUUUUCACACCAAUCACAGAAACUGUAAAUGUGACAUUUAAGACUUGUUCAAGUCAACAUAAACCUGCUCAGCUGCGUCUUUUUCUUUUGUUGCUGUUUUUCCUUGAUACAAUCAGAUCCCUGUUACUGAUAACUGAUCAUUUUAAUUGAUCCAAAUUUGUAUAAUCAGUGCAGCUUUAAAUAUGUUUUACGUAACCACUUUAAUUCGUGAACAAUCGAACAAGCCUGGGAAACUGCAAUUUAGCAAGAGCAAGAAGCAUCGACUUCUCUAUUUCUCUAAGUUGUCACUUCUGUUUCUAUCUGAUAACGAAAUGAGGUUUCUUGUGUUAUAGGACUUGAUCAGUGUCAGCAGGCAGGCUGAAGAAAAAAACAACUGUACUUCCUGGAACGACGUUUGAACUCUGUGUUGUUGUUGGUGUGGAUGUUGACGGGACUGAUGGUGGACGAGGAGGGAGGGAGCGGUUUGGUUCUGGGAUCAGAGCUAUGAAAUAUGAAAGUCACAAUAAAACAAUCUGAUGUUACUCAUUUAUUCUCUGCAAACCAGUCUAUGUGUUUAUAAUCAUACAGCUGAAUACUGGAGAUGAAUGUUUCU
rnacentral:lncRNA from 1 species